AACCGUGUACGUACAAGCAGUGGGAGCACAGGUUUACCUGUGUGACUGCGUACCUUUUGUAUAAUGGGUCAGCGACUUAUAUUCUGUAGCAAGGUUAACCGAAUAGGGGAGCCGGAGGGAAACCGAGUCUUAAUUGGGCGUUAAGUUGCAGGGUAUAGACCCGAAACCCGGUGAUCUAGCCAUGGGCAGGUUGAAGGUUGGGUAACACUAACUGGAGGACCGAACCGACUAAUGUUGAAAAAUUAGCGGAUGACCUGUGGCUGGGGGUGAAAGGCCAAUCAAACCGGGAGAUAGCUGGUUCUCCCCGAAAGCUAUUUAGGUAGCGCCUCGUGAAUUCAUCUCCGGGGGUAGAGCACUGUUUCGGCUAGGGGGCCAUCCCGGCUUACCAACCCGAUGCAAACUGCGAAUACCGGAGAAUGUUAUCACGGGAGACACACGGCGGGUGCUAACGUCCGUCGUGAAGAGGGAAACAACCCAGACCGCCAGCUAAGGUCCCAAAGUCAUGGUUAAGUGGGAAACGAUGUGGGAAGGCCCAGACAGCCAGGAUGUUGGCUUAGAAGCAGCCAUCAUUUAAAGAAAGCGUAAUAGCUCACUGGUCGAGUCGGCCUGCGCGGAAGAUGUAACGGGGCUAAACCAUGCACCGAAGCUGCGGCAGCGAACGUAUCACCCAAGACAACUUUACGGAGUUGACGAUUGACGGAGCGAAGCGACGUCAAAGCGUUCAUUAAAGUCGAGUUGGCUUAGGGAUACGUUCGUUGGGUAGGGGAGCGUUCUGUAAGCCUGUGAAGGUGUGUCGUGAGGC
rnacentral:rRNA from 1 species